GAAAUUCUUAUACUAUAAUCCCAUUAAUAUAAUAAAAAAUUAUAUCGAACUACAAUCUCGUAAUUUUUCCCACUAUAAAUUUUUUAUGUAAAAAUCUAUAACUCUUAUAAUUAAUUUUUACUUUAAAUUUAUUAAUUUAUUUUUCACCUAUUUAUUUAUGAUAAACAUCCUAUUUUAAUCAGAUAAGGAGAAAAAAAAUUAUUUCCGUAAGUAGUCCUUUCCCAACAUAAUUCUAUACAUAAAUUUCUCAAUUUAUUUAUGCACUUAAAAAGCUGGACAUGUAGAUCACAAAACCUUAACAUACACAUUGCGCUAGGCACACAUCAUUAUAAUUACAGGAUCUGAACAUCAAUGACCUUGCGCUCCACAUGGGUCUUAGGAAUUGAAAUGUAAAGAACACCAUUCUUCAGCUCUGCAUCUCAAUUUAUUUAUACACUUACAAAGCUGGACAUGUAGAUCACAAAACCUCAACAUACACAUUUCGCUAGGCACUCAUUAUUAUAAUUACAGAAUCUGAACAUCAAUGACCUUGCGCUCCACCUUUGUCUUAGGAAUUGAAAUGUAAAGAACACCAUUCUUGAGCUCUGCCUUGACCUUAUCUUUCUCACAGUUAUCAGGAAGCUGGAGACGAGUAUCGUAAGAGCUAAAACUUGCACCUCCAGCUUCUUCUGCCCUGUGCUCUCCUUUAAUGACAAGGACUUCAUCUUCCACCGACACUUUGAC
rnacentral:lncRNA from 1 species